rnacentral:rRNA from 1 species
AGAGUUUGAUAUGGCUCAGAUUGAACGCUGGUGGUAUGCUUAACACAUGCAAGUCGAACGGUAACAUUGGAGCUUGCUCCAGAUGACGAGUGGCGGACGGGUGAGUAACGCGUAGGAAUCUGCCUAGUAGUGGGGGACAACAUGUGGAAACGCAUGCUAAUACCGCAUACGCCCUACGGGGGAAAGCGGGGGAUCUUCGGACCUCGCGCUAUUAGAUGAGCCUGCGUUAGAUUAGCUUGUUGGUGGGGUAAUGGCCUACCAAGGCGACGAUCUAUAGCUGGUCUGAGAGGACGAUCAGCCACACUGGGACUGAGACACGGCCCAGACUCCUACGGGAGGCAGCAGUGGGGAAUAUUGGACAAUGGGCGCAAGCCUGAUCCAGCAAUACCACGUGUGUGAAGAAGGCCUGAGGGUUGUAAAGCACUUUCAAUUGGGAGGAAAACAGCUGGGUUAAUAGCCCUGCUCUUGACAUUACCUUUAGAAGAAGCACCGGCUAACUCCGUGCCAGCAGCCGCGGUAAUACAGAGGGUGCGAGCGUUAAUCGGAAUUACUGGGCGUAAAGCGUACGUAGGCGGUUAUUUAA